rnacentral:rRNA from 1 species
GACGAACGCUGGCGGCGUGCCUAACACAUGCAAGUCGAACGAGGUCCAUGAGAGCUUGCUCUCGGACGACCUAGUGGCGAACGGGUGAGUAACACGUGAGAAACCUGCCUCGGAGUGGGGAAUAACUCGGGGAAACUCGAGCUAAUACCGCAUACCUUCAGAUGAUCGCAUGGUCGACUGAAGAAAGAAUUUCGCUCUGAGAGGGUCUCGCGGCCUAUCAGCUAGUUGGUGGGGUAACGGCCUACCAAGGCAACGACGGGUAGCUGGAUUGAGAGAUCGAUCAGCCACACUGGGACUGAGACACGGCCCAGACUCCUACGGGAGGCAGCAGUGGGGAAUCUUGCGCAAUGGGCGAAAGCCUGACGCAGCAACGCCGCGUGCGGGAUGACGGCCUUCGUGGUUGUAAACCGCUUUCAGCAGGGACGAAAUUGACGGUACCUGCAGAAGAAGCCCCGGCUAACUACGUGCCAGCAGCCGCGGUAACAC